GAAAUGCGAUAAGUAAUGUGAAUUGCAGAAUUCCGUGAAUCAUCGAAUCUUUGAACGCACAUUGCGCCCCCUGGCAUUCCGGGGGGCAUGCCUGUCCGAGCGUCAUUUCUGCCCUCCAGCACGCCUGGGUGUUGGGUGCUGUCCCCCCGGGGACACGCCCCAAAAGCAGUGGCGGCGCCGCGUCGGGUCCUCGAGCGUAUGGGGCUCUGUCACCCGCUCGGGAGGGACUCGGUCGGCGCUGGUCUUCCUUUAGGCGACCCUUCGGGGCUCGUCUCCUCUGGUUGACCUCGGAUCAGGUAGGGCUACCCGCUGAACUUAA
rnacentral:misc_RNA from 1 species